GCACAACGCGAAGAACCUUACCAGGCCUUGACAUGCAGAGAACUUUCCAGAGAUGGAUUGGUGCCUUCGGGAGCUCUGACACAGGUGCUGCAUGGCUGUCGUCAGCUCGCGUCGUGAGAUGUUGGGUUAAGUCCCGUAACGAGCGCAACCCUUGUCCUUAGUUACCAGCACGUUAUGGUGGGCACUCUAAGGAGACUGCCGGUGACAAACCGGAGGAAGGUGGGGAUGACGUCAAGUCAUCAUGGCCCUUACGGCCUGGGCUACACACGUGCUACAAUGGUCGGUACAGAGGGUUGCCAAGCCGCGAGGUGGGGCUAAUCUCACAAAACCGAUCGUAGUCCGGAUCGCAGUCUGCAACUCGACUGCGUGAAGUCGGAAUCGCUAGUAAUCGCGAAUCAGAAUGUCGCGGUGAAUACGUUCCCGGGUCUUGUACACACCG
rnacentral:rRNA from 1 species